AGGCUGCAACUCGCCUACAUGAAGCCGGAAUCGCUAGUAAUCGCGGAUCAGCAUGCCGCGGUGAAUACGUUCCCGGGCCUUGUACACACCGCCCGUCACACCACGAGAGUUUGUAACACCCGAAGUCGGUGGGGUAACCGUAAGGAGCCAGCCGCCUAAGGUGGGACAGAUGAUUGGGGUGAAGUCGUAACAAGGUAGCCGUAUCGGAAGGUGCGGCUGGAUCACCUCCUUU
rnacentral:ncRNA from 1 species